rnacentral:rRNA from 1 species
AGAGUUUGAUCAUGGCUCAGGACGAACGCUGGCGGCGUGCUUAACACAUGCAAGUCGAGCGGAAAGGCCCUUCGGGGUACUCGAGCGGCGAACGGGUGAGUAACACGUGAGCAACCUGCCCUUAGCUUUGGGAUAACCCUCGGAAAACGGGGGCUAAUACCGAAUGUUCACUUCCUGUCGCAUGGUGGGGGGUGGAAAGUUUUUUCGGCUAGGGAUGGGCUCGCGGCCUAUCAGCUUGUUGGUGGGGUGAUGGCCUACCAAGGCGACGACGGGUAGCCGGCCUGAGAGGGCGACCGGCCACACUGGGACUGAGACACGGCCCAGACUCCUACGGGAGGCAGCAGUGGGGAAUAUUGCACAAUGGGCGCAAGCCUGAUGCAGCGACGCCGCGUGAGGGAUGACGGCCUUCGGGUUGUAAACCUCUUUCAGCAGGGACGAAGGGUGACUGACGGUACCUGCAGAAGAAGCGCCGGCCAACUACGUGCCAGCAGCCGCGGUAAGACGUAGGGCGCGAGCGUUGUCCGGAUUUAUUGGGCGUAAAGAGCUCGUAGGCGGCUUGUCGCGUCGACUGUGAAAACCCGUGGCUCAACCAUGUGGUCUGCAGUCGAUACGGGCAGGCUAGAAUUCGGUAGGGGAGACUGGAAUUCCUGGUGUAGCGGUGAAAUGCGCAGAUAUCAGGAGGAACACCGGUGGCGAAGGCGGGUCUCUGGGCCGAUAUUGACGCUGAGGAGCGAAAGCGUGGGGAGCGAACAGGAUUAGAUACCCCAGUAGUCC